rnacentral:rRNA from 1 species
AUUCUACGGGUGGCUGCAGUGGGGAAUAUUGCACAAUGGGCGCAAGCCUGAUGCAGCGACGCCGCGUGGGGGAUGACGGCCUUCGGGUUGUAAACUCCUUUCGCCAGGGACGAAGCUUUUUGUGACGGUACCUGGAGAAGAAGCACCGGCUAACUACGUGCCAGCAGCCGCGGUAAUACGUAGGGUGCAAGCGUUGUCCGGAAUUACUGGGCGUAAAGAGCUCGUAGGUGGUUUGUCACGUCGUCUGUGAAAUUCCACAGCUUAACUGUGGGCGUGCAGGCGAUACGGGCUGACUUGAGUACUGUAGGGGUAACUGGAAUUCCUGGUGUAGCGGUGAAAUGCGCAGAUAUCAGGAGGAACACCGAUGGCGAAGGCAGGGUUACUGGGCAGUUACUGACGCUGAGGAGCGAAAGCAUGGGUAGCAAACAGGAUUAGAUACCCUGGUAGUCCAUGCCGUAAACGGUGGGCGCUAGGUGUAGGGGCCUUUUGGGGUUUCUGUGCCGUAGCUAACGCAUUAAGCGCCCCGCCUGGGGAGUACGGCCGCAAGGCUAAAACUCAAAGGAAUUGACGGGGGCCCGCACAAGCGGCGGAGCAUGUGGAUUAAUUCGGUGCAACGCGAAGAACCUUACCUGGGCUUGACAUACACCGGAUCGCUGCAGAGAUGUAGUUUCCCUUGUGGCUGGUGUACAGGUGAUGCAUGGAUGUCGUCAGCUCGUG